GAUGAACGCUGGCGGCGUGCUUAACACAUGCAAGUCGAACGAAGCACUUUAGUUGAUUUCCUUCGGGACUGAUUAUUUUGUGACUGAGUGGCGGACGGGUGAGUAACGCGUGGGUAACCUGCCUUGUACAGGGGGAUAACAGUUGGAAACAGCUGCUAAUACCGCAUAAGCGCACAGCAUCGCAGGAUGCAGUGCGAAAAACUCCGGUGGUGUAAGAUGGACCCGCGUUGGAUUAGCUAGUUGGUGAGGUAACGGCCCACCAAGGCGACGAUCCAUAGCCGACCUGAGAGGGUGACCGGACACAUUGGGACUGGGACACGGACCAAACUCCUACGGGAGGCAGCAGUGGGGAAUAUUGCACAAUGGGCGAAAGCCUGAUGCAGCGACGCCGCGUGAGCGAAGAAGUAUUUCGGUAUGUAAAGCUCUAUCAGCAGGGAAGAUAAUGACGGUACCUGACGAAGAAGCACCGGCUAAAUACGUG
rnacentral:rRNA from 1 species